rnacentral:rRNA from 1 species
AACCGGCGAACGGGUGCGUAACACGUGAACAACCUGCCCUCGUGUGGGGGAUAGCCAUGCUAACGCGUGGGUAAUACCGCAUACGUUCUUUCGGGGGAGUCCCUGGAAGAGGAAAGCUCCGGCGCACGGGGAGGGGUUCGCGGCCUAUCAGCUAGUUGGCGGGGUAAUGGCCCACCAAGGCGACGACGGGUAGCUGGUCUGAGAGGAUGGCCAGCCACAUUGGGACUGAGAGACGGCCCAG